GACGAACGCUGGCGGCGUGCUUAACACAUGCAAGUCGAGCGGUAAGGCCCUUUCGGGAGUACACGAGCGGCGAACGGGUGAGUAACACGUGGGUGACCUGCCUUUAGCUCUGGGAUAAGCCUGGGAAACUGGGUCUAAUACCGGAUAUGACUCCGCGGUGCAUGCUGUGGGGUGGAAAGCCUUGUGCGGCUGGAGAUGGGCCCGCGGCCUAUCAGCUUGUUGGUGGGGUGANGGCCUACCAAGGCGACGACGGGUAGCCGGCCUGAGAGGGCGACCGGCCACACUGGGACUGAGACACGGCCCAGACUCCUACGGGAGGCAGCAGGUGGGGAAUCUUGC
rnacentral:rRNA from 1 species